rnacentral:rRNA from 1 species
AUUGAACGCUGGCGGCAUGCCUUACACAUGCAAGUCGAACGGUAACAGGUCUUCGGAUGCUGACGAGUGGCGAACGGGUGAGUAAUACAUCGGAACGUGCCUAGUAGUGGGGGAUAACUACUCGAAAGAGCGGCUAAUACCGCAUGAGAUCUACGGAUGAAAGCAGGGGAUCGCAAGACCUUGUGCUACUAGAGCGGCCGAUGGCAGAUUAGGUAGUUGGUGGGAUAAAAGCUUACCAAGCCGACGAUCUGUAGCUGGUCCGAGAGGACGAUCAGCCACACUGGGACUGAGACACGGCCCAGACUCCUACGGGAGGCAGCAGUGGGGAAUUUUGGACAAUGGGCGCAAGCCUGAUCCAGCAAUGCCGCGUGCAGGAUGAAGGCCUUCGGGUUGUAAACUGCUUUUGUACGGAACGAAAAGCCCUGGGUUAAUACCCUGGGGUCAUGACGGUACCGUAAGAAUAAGCACCGGCUAACUACGUGCCAGCCGCCGCGGUAACAC